GCUCCGGUGGCCCAGUGGAAAUGCUCCCGCCUGCUGUGUGGGCAACCCAGGUUCCAAUCCUGCCGUCUGCGCC